AUUGAACGCUGGCGGCAUGCCUUAAACAUGCAAGUCGAACGGCAACAGGCCGCAAGGUGCUGACGAGUGGCGAACGGGUGAGUAAUGCAGCGGAGCGUGGCCAGUAGGGGGGGAUAGCCCGGCGAAAGCCGGAUGAAUACCGCAUAAGACCUGAGGGUGAAGGGGGGGGAUCGCACGACCUCUGGCUAUUGUACCGGCCGAUGUCAGCUUACUUAUUUGGUGGGGUAAAGGCCUACCAAGGCAACGAUCUGUCGUUGAUCUGAGAGGACGACCAGCCACACUGGUACUGCGACACGGCCCAUACUCCUACGGGAGGCAGCAGUGGGGAAUUUUGGACAAUGGGCUCAAGCCUGAUCCAGCAAUGCCGCGUGCAGGAAGAAGGCCUUCGGGUUGUAAACUGCUUUUGUCAGGGAAGAAAUCUUCUGGGUUAAUACCUCGGGAGGAUGACGGUACCUGAAGAAUAAGCACCGGCUAACUACGUGCCAGCCGCCGCGGUAAGAC
rnacentral:rRNA from 1 species